rnacentral:lncRNA from 1 species
CCCGAUCAGAGAGAAACCCACAAGUUGCGUAAGGUCUCCCAAACGAGCUAACUCAAGGUCUCCAGAUUUGAAGUUGUUACAGGGAGAGAAGUUUUCAGGCCGAGCCAGGUCUCCUAGACGUGCCAAGUUGCAGUCUCCUGAACCUCGCUCACCCUCAUCACGAACAAAAAGACUGAGGAGAGCAGAACGAGAUGCUGAAGAAAAAUCGAGGGAGCGGGAGCCUGAGAAGAACCAUGGGAGAUCUAGUGAUAGGGCUACACAUAGGGAAAAGGAUUCUGACAGAAUUUUGCCUGAACCUCGCUCGCCCUCACCACUAACAAAAAGACUGAAGAGAGCAGAACGAGAUGCUGAAGAAAAAUUGAGGGAGCGGGAGCCUGAGAAGAACCACGGGAGAUCUAGUGAUAGGGCUAAACAUAGGGAAAAGGAUUCUGACAGAAUGUUGCCUGAAUCUCGCUCACCCUCACCACGAACAAAAAGACUAAGGAGAGCAGAACGAGAAGCUGAAGAGAAGUCGAGGGAGCGGGAGCCUGGAAAAAAUCAUGGGAGAUCUAGCGAUAGGGCGACACUCAGGGAAAAUGAUUCUGACAGAGUGAUGCAAAGUGAAAGGAGAG